GUGGGGAAUUUUGGACAAUGGGCGAAAGCCUGAUCCAGCAAUGCCGCGUGUGUGAAGAAGGCCUUCGGGUUGUAAAGCACUUUUGGCAGGGAAGAAACAGUGCGUGCUAAUACCAUGCGCGAAUGACGGUACCUGCAGAAUAAGCACCGGCUAACUACGUGCCAGCAGCCGCGGUAAUACGUAGGGUGCAAGCGUUAAUCGGAAUUACUGGGCGUAAAGCGUGCGCAGGCGGCUUUGUAAGACGGAUGUGAAAGCCCCGGGCUCAACCUGGGAAGUGCAUUCGUGACUGCAAGGCUAGAGUGUGUCAGAGGGAGGUGGAAUUCCGCGUGUAGCAGUGAAAUGCGUAGAGAUGCGGAGGAACACCGAUGGCGAAGGCAGCCUCCUGGGAUAACACUGACGCUCAGGCACGAAAGCGUUGGGAGCAAACAGGAUUAGAAACCCUAGUAGUCC
rnacentral:rRNA from 1 species